rnacentral:lncRNA from 1 species
UAUAAGAAAAACAGUUUUAGUCAUUGGAUGCGAUUAUUAAUAGGGAGCAGUAUAAAAAAUACAAUACAAUAGUCAUUGGAUGCGAUUAUUAAUAGGGAGCAGUAUAAAAAAUACAAUACAAAGGUUGAUAUAUAAAACUAAUAAUAUCAAAAUGAUGUAUACUUCUUAUCGCCAACCAAGACCGUUGAUCCAAGUGGUAAAAAAAUUAUGGCUGGAAUUAUCGCCAUCUGAGUUCAAUCCGUACUGAAUAAAACAAUUUACAAUCAGAGCUGGUCCUUAAUCCUCCAAGGCUGCAAACAAAAAUAAAAUUUAUGGCUGUUUUGUAUAUUUUUACAAAAAAAAGUUUAUAGAAUACGCAAUAGAACAAAAAUUUAAAUGCCACUAGACCAAAAAAACAUUUAUCAUUUUGUGGCCGAAAUAUUUACUAUAAAAUUGGUGGUUAGAAGCGAGUGCUUGGUUGGCAUGGUGUCAAGGCCGACACUUGGAUUCACGGUAAAGAGGUAAACUUUUUUUUACACCAAAAAAAAUCUUCUUACUGCCAUCGUUGAUUGACAAAAUUUCACCUAGAUAGUAAAAUUUACCAUUCAAGACCUAUAUUAGAUUAGAACGAAUGCUAU